rnacentral:rRNA from 1 species
GUGAGGAAUAUUGGUCAAUGGGCGGAAGCCUGAACCAGCCAUCCCGCGUGGAGGAAGACGGCCCUAUGGGUUGUAAACUUCUUUUCAAGGGGAAGAAAGUUCGCGACGUGUCGCGAUUUGCCGGUACCUUUGGAAUAAGCAUCGGCUAACUCCGUGCCAGCAGCCGCGGUAAUACGGAGGAUGCGAGCGUUAUCCGGAUUUAUUGGGUUUAAAGGGUGCGUAGGCCGAUCGAUAAGUCAGCGGUGAAAUACCAUGGCCCAACCAUGGAACUGCCGUUGGUACUGUCGGUCUUGAAUAUGGUCAAGGUAGGCGGAAUGUGUAAUGUAGCGGUGAAAUGCUUAGAUAUUACACAGAACACCGAUUGCGAAGGCAGCUUACUGGUCCAUUAUUGACGCUGAGGCACGAAAGCGUGGGGAUCGAACAGGAUUAGAAACCCGUGUAGUCC